rnacentral:tRNA from 1 species
GUUGUAGCUCAGUGGCAGAGCGCUUGUCUAGCAUGUGUGAGGCCCUGGGUUUGAUUCUCAGCACAACA